rnacentral:siRNA from 1 species
GAAAGCCGAGAGCCGUGUGGUGGA